ACAGUUGAUCCUGGGUGAGGACGAACGCUGGCGGCGUGCUUAACACAUGCAAGUCGAACGAUGAAGCCCUUCGGGGUGGAUUAGUGGCGAACGGGUGAGUAACACGUGGGCAAUCUGCCCUUCACUCUGGGACAAGCCCUGGAAACGGGGUCUAAUACCGGAUACGACGCGCUCGGGCAUCCGAUGUGCGUGGAAAGCUCCGGCGGUGAAGGAUGAGCCCGCGGCCUAUCAGCUUGUUGGUGAGGUAACGGCUCACCAAGGCGACGACGGGUAGCCGGCCUGAGAGGGCGACCGGCCACACUGGGACUGAGACACGGCCCAGACUCCUACGGGAGGCAGCAGUGGGGAAUAUUGCACAAUGGGCGAAAGCCUGAUGCAGCGACGCCGCGUGAGGGAUGACGGCCUUCGGGUUGUAAACCUCUUUCAGCAGGGAAGAAGCGAGAGUGACGGUACCUGCAGAAGAAGCGCCGGCUAACUACGUGCCAGCAGCCGCGGUAAUACGUAGGGCGCGAGCGUUGUCCGGAAUUAUUGGGCGUAAAGAGCUCGUAGGCGGUCUGGCAAGUUGGGUGUGAAAGCUCCCGGCUAAACUGGGAGAGGCCAUUCAGGACUGCCAGGCUAGAGGUCGGUAGAGGGGCGCAGAAUUCGGGGUGUAGCGGUGAAAUGUGUAGAGAUCCCGAGGAAUACCAGUGGGGAAGCCGGCGCCCUGGGCCGAAUCUGACGCUGAGGCGCGACAGCGUGGGGAGCGAACGGGAUUAGAGACCCCGGUAGUCCACGCCGUAAACGAUGCAGACUGGGUGUUCACUGCCUUACGGGGCAGGGAGUGCCGAAGCCUACGCGCUAAGUCGGCGUCUGGGGAGUACGGUCGAAGGCUAAAACUCAAAGGAAUUGACGGGGGCCCGCACAGCAGCGGAGCGGGGGGUUAAUUUAAGGUUAAAGAAGAAUUUAAUUGGGUUGAAUAUGGGGGGU
rnacentral:rRNA from 1 species